CGCAGGUUCGAAUCCUGCACGACCCACCAAUCGCUAAGGUGGAACGCGAUUGUAAAACGUGAAGGAUAACGUUGCGUAAGCAACGGCCCGUAGGGCGAGGCAAAGCCGAGUCAUCCUGCACGCCCCACCA
rnacentral:sRNA from 1 species